CCGAAUAAACAGCUAUUGCGAGUUCAGUGGGUGACAGCACAGGGGCCUUCACUUCCUCUUCUAGCCCAGGAAAAUUGUGAUCAGGCUGCAGGCCACCUGCCCGUUUCUCUGCAGCAGGAAGUGGAUUGAGCGUCUAUGAGGGCCAGACUCCCGCAUUUAUCAUCCAGUUAGGCCUAAUCAAAAUGUUUUCCGUUUCACCUGCCUAGAUGCAGUUCCCUCCCUCAAGUUUUCCAAAUUGACACUACUGCACUUUUUCAUGUGGCCCAGAGGAUCCUCCUUUCUGCCCUGGAUGAAGAGGACAACGUUUCUUAGUUCCACUGACGUGAGUGACUGACCACUUUGGCACCCAUGGAGUCACCAUCUCAAAUACACUUUGAAAAUGCUCAGGAGAAAGUCGGAAUCUUGGUAUUAUGGGUACAAACAGCAUAACCCAG
rnacentral:lncRNA from 1 species